rnacentral:rRNA from 1 species
GACGUAGGGGGGCCAGCGUUGUUCGGAAUUACUGGGUGUAAAGGGUUCGUAGGCGGUGCGGCAAGUUGGGAGUGAAAUCUCUGGGCUUAACCCCAGAGGCUGCUUCCAAAAACUGCUGUGCUUGAGUGUGGGAGAGGCGCGUGGAAUUGCAGGUGUAGCGGUGAAAUGCGUAGAUAUCUGCAGGAACACCCGUGGCGAAACGGCGCGCUGGACCACUACUGACGCUGAGGAACGAAAGCUAGGGGAGCAAACAGG